CUUCGGGAAGGAACAGCCAGCCAGGCUGGAGCCUCCGGAGGGGCGGGGAUUGGCCGCUGCCCUCCGCCCCUGAUUGGUGGUGCCUGUGUUUCAAAUGAACCCAACGUCUCGGACGUCGGGACGUCAGGAUUCUGUAGAGAAGUGCCCGGAUGUGGCCAGCAGGUGGCGGUGGUGGGUCCCGGGCGCCACUGGGAGUAGCAGAGCCACCAAAUCCUCUAAAGGAAAUCAGUGCCUCCAUAGAUGAUCCCCCCCCGCCCACACCCCCACUGAUGGCUGUGAUCUGGAAGAGUUUUCUGCCCGAAGGCUUUCUGCUUUGGCUGUUGGGUGGAAGGUGUGCGCGCAGCAGGGACCGGGACAGGAUACCUCGGGCCUCUGCAGGUGCACUUGUUAAAUCAGCAACCCGCCUUAUUUAAACCCUGAUGUACAGCACUGGACUCUGGUCUAGGGAAUUUCGUGGGUGAUUGGAGUAAGUUCCCUAAUAUGUCCUGGGCUUUUAUUUUCUUCAUGUAAGCUUCCAUUUGAACAAAUGUAAGAAUAUGUCUGGAGAUUCUAGAAUCUCCUGGAGCCAGAGUAAAUUGCUUCCUGAUGCCUUCUCCCCACCCCCCACCGUGAGAUCUUUUGUUACUUUCCGCUAAAGCCUAGACAAAAAUGUAUCGUUUUACCUGUAAUAACUAUUGUUAUUA